GCACUGCUGAGGAGUCCCAUACUAGGACGAAACGGCCGCCCAGUGC
rfam:Schistosoma curassoni strain Dakar, Senegal genome assembly, scaffold: SCTD_scaffold0019124